CAUAAGCACGCAUCUUUUUACGUUUCUCAUAGUUCUUUUUCGUGUCUUCACCAGAAACAGAAAUAGAAAGCCCAAAGAAAAAAGAACCACCGAAAAAAGAACCAGAAAGAAAGGAAGGAGAAGGACACGAUGUUUCGCACGUAUUAGACUAUGGAACAGCGGGAUAUUAUGUCGGCUGCAGUGAUGCUAACGGCAAACCAUACGCAACCGGAAAGGGUUGUGUGCUUUACUUCCGUGGUGUAAGUCUCAAUUCUAUUUUUUGGGCCUAAAAGAGCCGGAUUCAUAUAU